GACGAACGCUGGCGGCGUGCUUAACACAUGCAAGUCGAACGGAAAGGCCCUGCUUUUGUGGGGUGCUCGAGUGGCGAACGGGUGAGUAACACGUGAGUAACCUGCCCUUGCCUUUGGGAUAACUUCAGGAAACUGGGGCUCAUACCGGAUAGGCGCUCCUGCUGCAUGGUGGGGGUUGGAAAGUUUCGGCGGUUGGGGAUGGACUCGCGGCUUAUCAGCUUGUUGGUGGGGUAGUGGCUUACCAAGGCUUUGACGGGUAGCCGGCCUGAGAGGGUGACCGGCCACAUCGGGACUGAGAUACGGCCCAGACUCCUACGGGAGGCAGCAGUGGGGAAUAUUGCACAAUGGGCGGAAGCCUGAUGCAGCAACGCCGCGUGCGGGAUGACGGCCUUCGGGUUGUAAACCGCUUUCGCCUGUGACGAAGCGUGAGUGACGGUAAUGGGUAAAGAAGCACCGGCUAACUACGUG
rnacentral:rRNA from 1 species